rnacentral:rRNA from 1 species
GUUGUCAUCAGCUGCUCUAGUACAUGCAAGUCGAGCGAAUGGAUUAAGAGCUUGCUCUUAUGAAGUUAGCGGCGGACGGGUGAGUAACACGUGGGUAACCUGCCCAUAAGACUGGGAUAACUCCGGGAAACCGGGGCUAAUACCGGAUAACAUUUUGAACCGCAUGGUUCGAAAUUGAAAGGCGGCUUCGGCUGUCACUUAUGGAUGGACCCGCGUCGCAUUAGCUAGUUGGUGAGGUAACGGCUCACCAAGGCAACGAUGCGUAGCCGACCUGAGAGGGUGAUCGGCCACACUGGGACUGAGACACGGCCCAGACUCCUACGGGAGGCAGCAGUAGGGAAUCUUCCGCAAUGGACGAAAGUCUGACGGAGCAACGCCGCGUGAGUGAUGAAGGCUUUCGGGUCGUAAAACUCUGUUGUUAGGGAAGAACAAGUGCUAGUUGAAUAAGCUGGCACCUUGACGGUACCUAACCAGAAAGCCACGGCUAACUACGUGCCAGCAGCCGCGGUAAUACGUAGGUGGCAAGCGUUAUCCGGAAUUUUUGGGCGUAAAGCGCGCGCAGGGUGGUUUCUUAAGUCUGAUGUGAAAGCCCACGGCUCACCCGUGGAGGGUCAUUGGAAACUGGGAGAACUUGAGUGCAGAAGAGGAAAGUGGAAUUCCAUGGUGUAGCCGGUGAAAUGCGUAGAGAUAUUGGGAGGAACCCACAGUGGCGAAGGCGACUUUCUGGUCUGGUAACUGACAACUGGAGGGCGGAAAGCCUGGGGGAGCAAACAGGAAUAAAUAACCCGGGUAAGUCCACCGCCCGAAACCAUUGAAGUGCUAAGUUGUUUAAGGGGUUUCUCCCCCUUUCGGUGGAGCAUGUGGUUUAAUUUGAAGCAACGCGAAGAACCUUACCAGGUCUUGACAUCCUUUGACAACCCUAGAGAUAGGGCUUCUCCUUCGGGAGCAGAGUGACAGGUGGUGCAUGGUUGUCGUCAGCUCGUGUCGUGAGAUGUUGGGUUAAGUCCCGCAACGAGCGCAACCCUUGAUCUUAGUUGCCAUCAUUUAGUUGGGCACUUUAAGGUGACUGCCGGUGACAAACCGGAGGAAGGUGGGGAUGACGUCAAAUCAUCAUGCCCCUUAUGACCUGGGCUACACACGUGCUACAAUGGACGGUACAAAGAGCUGCAAGACCGCGAGGUGGAGCUAAUCUCAUAAAACCGUUCUCAGUUCGGAUUGUAGGCUGCAACUCGCCUACAUGAAGCUGGAAUCGCUAGUAAUCGCGGAUCAGCAUGCCGCGGUGAAUACGUUCCCGGGCCUUGUACACACCGCCCGUCACACCACGAGAGUUUGUAACACCCGAAGUCGGUGGGGUAACCUUUUGGAGCCAGCAGCUAGAGUGUACGGUUACGA